rnacentral:lncRNA from 12 species
GGCGCCCGCAGGCCCUCCUGACAGGGGAUUAGACUGCGCUGCCGUGAGGCGGCAGCUGAGGGAGUGCUGUGAAGCGGACAACCAACCACCUGCCCCAGGCGAAGGGCGCUCCGGGCGGCGGGGGCGAAGGGGGAAGGGGGGACAUGUAGAGUUGCAGCCCUCCCUCGUCUCUCUUCCCUCUCCGCCCCGCCCGGCGCAGCGCAUGCCAGAGCCAGCCGCGGAGAGCCGUUUGUGUCGGGGAAGGGCUCCGCCGAGAACAUAGUAAUUAACAGUUUAAACAAAAAACCAGACAAGUGGCCUGCACAGCCUGAAGCUUACUGGGGGAGUCGUCUUCAAUGUCCGGUGUCCUUUUGAGGUGGCUGUUCCUUGAUCCCCACUUUCGACUGUUUCUCAAGACCCCACAGAACUGCAUGAAGGAGGUGCUGCAGUGGUGAUGUAAUUGCUGAGGGAGGACAGACAGAAGGGGAAGACUUAAUUCUCUAAUCUUCCCCUUGCAUGUGGCUUUCUCCAUGUAUAAUUUUUCAAUCUAUUUUUUCC